rnacentral:tRNA from 1 species
GGUUGGGUUAGCUCAGUGGCUAGAGCUUAGGUCUGGUAACCGGAAGGUCCCUGGAUCGAUUCCCGCCAGAGGCA